rnacentral:lncRNA from 1 species
GAGCUUCCUGGUUGGUGAACGCAUGGAAGUGCUGGGAGAGUGGCGUGCUCUGAGAGCAAGGCAGCUCCGCGUCCCUUCCCUGUACCUUGCCCUGUGCAUCUCUUCCAUCUGGCUGCCCUGAGUUAUAUCCUUUUAUAAUACGCUGGUGAUCUAGUAAAUGGGGAUAAUGAGGCACAGACAGCCUGAGGAAUUGGCCCCACAUCAGACAAGAUGGAAUGCGGUUGGGGUCUUUUUUGGUUUCCAUCCAAGAAUUAGCCCUGAGCUAACUGCUGCCAAUCCUCCUCUUUUUGCUGAGGAAGACUGGCCCUGAGCUAACAUCUGUGCCCAUCUUCCUCUACUUUAUAUGUGGGAUGCCUACCACAGCAUGGCUUGCCAAGCAGUGCCAUGUCCACACCCAGGAUCCAAACCAGCAAACCCCGGGCCGCCGAAACAGAACGUGCUUAAUGAAGCAGAACUUAACCGCUUCACCACCGGGCCGGCCCUGAACUCAUUUAUUAAUUUGAGUAGUGUUUUAGUAGAUUCUUUAGGACUUUUUGUAUACAAGAUCAUGUCAUCUAUGAAUAAAGAUAGUU